rnacentral:piRNA from 1 species
AACUGGAUUAUGAUGAGGAUGCC